rnacentral:lncRNA from 1 species
GGAGAUCCCCAAGCACUGACAUCACUGCUGAGGGCAGCCCCACCAAAGUGCAGAAGAGCUGGAGCUUCAACGACCGAACCCGCUUCAGGCCCUCACUACGCCUCAAGAGUUCCCAGCCGAAGACGGUGAUAGACGCUGACACAGCCCUUGGCAUUGACGACGUAUACGAUGAGAAAGGAUGCCAGUGUGACGUGUCCGUGGAGGACCUCACCCCACCACUCAAAACCGUCAUCCGAGCCAUCAGAAUCAUGAAGUUUCAUGUUGCAAAGCGGAAGUUUAAGGAAACAUUACGCCCAUAUGAUGUAAAGGAUGUCAUUGAGCAAUACUCUGCUGGCCAUCUGGACAUGCUAUGUAGAAUUAAAAGCCUUCAAACACGCGUUGAUCAAAUUCUUGGAAAAGGACAAAUCACAUCAGAUAAAAA